GAGAGAGAGAAAGAGAAAGGGGAAGGAAGGGAGCGGCUCGUGCGUGACCAGCCAGCCCGCCGGAGCCCCUUCGCCGUUCGCCCGUCGCCGCCAGCUCACCCCCGGAGGUCUCGCCGUUCGUCCGUCGCCGCCCCGCACCGCCCGCACGCCGCUCCGCCGGUCAGCUCGCCUGCUCGUUGCCCUCGUCCGCGCCAGCUCGCGUUCCAGCAGCUCGUCCGAGCUGCUCGGGCCUUCGCCGGAGCUCCCUCCGCCGCCGUCGACCUCCCCUUCAGCCCAUCCAAGCCCUCGCCGGUCUCCUUUGCCCAUUUCGACCCGAACCAGCCGCCGUUUGGCCCUCCUCCUCCCGUGAACAGCAGCCAAGAAAAUGGGUAUGGCAGCCCGUGUUUGGCCCAUUUUGGCCGCCUUCCCGAGCCCGGAUGCUCGGCCCGCCUUGAGGAAAGUCGAUCCUCGCGUCGUCCUCGUCGUUUUGGUCCGCUCGGCUCGCUAAUCCGGUCCUUAGAUGGCGGUCGUGGAGGACCCGAAGCCCUAAGUCUGGAAAGGUGGAGACUGAAGUAUUAGUGAACGUGUCCUGCUAGUUGGUUUUAGGAUAGUUCCCCUUUUGUCGAGCUGGUCUAUUUUGUAGACAGUCCAGAAUUGUAUUUAAACUUAUGUGUUUGUAAAUGAGUGUUUGGUAUUGUGAUU